rnacentral:rRNA from 1 species
UACAGGGGGGGGCAAGCGUUGUUCGGAAUUACUGGGCGUAAAGGGCUCGUAGGCGGCCAACUAAGUCACACGUGAAAUCCCCAGGCUUAACCUGGGAACUGCGUGUGAUACUGGAUGGCUUGAAUUCGGGAGAGGGAUGCAGAAUUCCAGGUGUAGCGGUGAAAUGCGUAGAUAUCCUGAGGAACACCGGUGGCGAAAGCGGCGCGCUGGACCUCUUCUGACGCUGAGGCGCGAAAGCCAGGGGAGCAAACGGG